rnacentral:rRNA from 1 species
AUUGAACGCUGGCGGCAGGCCUAACACAUGCAAGUCGAGCGAGCGGCGGACGGGUGAGUAAUGUAUGGGGACUGCCCGAUAGAGGGGGAUAACUACUGGAAACGGUGGCUAAUACCGCAUACUAUCGGAUAACCCAUAUGGGAUUAGCUAGUAGGUGGGGUAAAGGCUCACCUAGGCGACGAUCUCUAGCUGGUCUGAGAGGAUGAUCAGACACACUGGGAUCGAGAAAGGGCCCAAACUCCUACGGAGCCAGCAAUGGGAACUAUUGCACAAGGGGCGCAAACCUGAAGCAGCCAUGCCGGGUGUAUGAAGAAGUCCAUAGGGUUGUAAAGUACUUAAAGCGGGGAGGCGUUACCCGCAGAAGAAGCACCGGCUAACUCAGUGCCAGCCGCCGCGGUGAUAC